rnacentral:lncRNA from 1 species
UGCGGAUUUCCAUUUUUGCACCACUUUCCGAUCGAAUUUCCUCAUCUCCACCGUCUAGUAUCUAGAUAAUAUUGUGUAGAUCAUCUCUGCAAAAUUUCAGCCAAUUUGGUGAUCGUUAAGGCCCUCAAACUUGAGUUUUUCUGAUAUGAACACAACCAGACAUAAUUCAGUCCGUCCAUUUGUUUUUCAAGUUUGAGGGCCUUAACGAUCACCAAAUUGGCUGAAAUUUUGCUGAGAUGAUCUACACAAUAUUAUCUAGAUACUAGACGGUGGAGAUGAAGAAAUUCGAUCAGAAAGUGGUGCAAAAAUGGAAAUCCGCACCAAAAAAUUAGUGCGGACGUCCGCAGCUGAGAAAAUCCGUGUAUAUAUAUAUAUAUAUGUGGCUUUCAAUCCUCAAAUAGAAGUUUGUAUGUUUUAGCAUUUCGAUCACCCGUAGAUCUUCGGCGUAGUGUUUUCCACGUAUAACUCUCUAGCUAUCUUCUUAAUUUCCUUGAUCUUAAGCUGUUCUACAUAUGAAGGCUCAAAACUUAUCAUUACGCAAGGCUUCUACAUAUAUAUGAGUGUAAUCUAAUCAUCAGGCAAUAGUGGACUAAAAACAAAAGCCAAAGAACAAAAAUGAUGUGUCUGAUGCUUAUUUAUUAAGGAUUAAUUACAUAUAUGUACAGAGGUAUAUUUAUAUAAGACCUCCCGAACUAUACAAGUACAGAGAUAUCUCACCGUUACAUGCAACCUCAAUUAUCUGCUGAGGUGGCAGUUAAGGCUGGCAGUAACUUUGUCAUUUCAGGCUUUCAGCAUGUAUAUGAAAGGAAAAUUUGCUCGCUGCAUUAGCGCUGCGUGUUUCGAACACGCAAACUUGCACAUUAGUACCUAGUCAGUAGACCUGGCAACGGGUCGGGUUCGUGCGGGUCACGGGCGUGUUUUUAACGUGUCAGGUCCUUAACGGUUAACGGGCCAACACGGUAAAAACCCGUUAAGUUAACAGGUUGAAACGGGUGGAACCUGUCAGGCUCGCGUGUUUCCAUUAAAACCCGUGAACGAAACCUUUUCGCAAAACCCGUUAAAAAUAAAACUACUUUUUUCUCCAGACCCCAAUCCAUUUGAUUCAUGUUCAAAUAAACUCUC